UUACCUCGGCAUUUAUGCAGCAGCAGCAGGAGACCAUUAUUCAGUGACACAUUCUAUCCCACUGACAUUAUCACUCAAAGAUGGUCGAUUUCAUUUUCAGGAAGGUCCCAGAGAGCCACAGAGAAGUUACAAUCAAUCACACAACCAGGAUUUCCAGCAAAGUCAUCUUCCUGGCAGAAAGAAAAUGAGUCUUCUGGCAUCUCAGCCUGGUAUCAGACUUGACCACCAAGAAAAUUUUCUUCUCUUCAGAAUAAAGAAGAAAAAUAAUUAGGAACAGAGAACAUGGACCAUGAACUCCUGAGAUGCCUAUGUGCUAUUUGUACACAAGGACUCCACAGAAUGCUCCAUUUUUUUCCUGGACCAGUGCAAGCCAUGUAGAAUGUGACUCAUACAGGGGUCUACAUUGGCCAUCAACCACAGACAGACCUUGGCCCAAGGCCCAUUUUGGAAGAAAACUGAAAGCAUGUUAUGCCAAUGUGUUCUUGCUACAUUUACUCUUGCACCUGCAGGUUGCUUUUAGGAGUUGUUUAAUGGAAACCUCAAGUCCCCUUAAACCAAAUGUAAUUGACAGAAAGGUGGCUGUGCUGAAUUAUAAGGGUAAGUAUGUUAACAAGUUCUAGUUCGCUGGACCACAGGCUUGGUGAGCUGCUUUGGAGUGAGUCCUGCCUUCAGCAAGGAAAACAAAAAAUAGCACAUCCCCUUUUAAUUAACUGCUUCUGGCAAGAAACCUGGUCAUGAGGGAACAGGCCUAGACAAAGACUGGAGUGCAUUGAUCUUCCCAAUAAUAUAUGGCCAAGGCUUCUUUUUCUGAUCAUGUCCUGCUUGUCUUAUUAUUGUUGCUCAUGUAAACUCAUGCAAGGCACCAAGUAUUUUCUUUGUUUAGCAUGAUGGAUUAAAAUGAUGGUUGCAAAACUGUACUGUUUCUAAGCAAGGGAUAAGUACAUUAAAUCUGUUUCUGCCUCCUGUAAAAUAAAAAACAUACUGACCUUGUUAAUAAGAUAUGUAUCCAACAGAUAACAAAAGUAUCAUUUAAGUAGUAUACUUGGGUAAGACAGAGAAGUGAAAUUUUGGGUUGCUUCAUGGAGAUGAUACAGAUGCAAUAGUUGGUACACUAUUAAUUACAUAAAUAUUUUAAUCUUGGAGUAAUAUAUUAUAA
rnacentral:lncRNA from 1 species